AAUGGAGGAAGCCACUUCGGUGGCAGGAAGACAGGUGGUGCAUGGUUGUCGUCAGCUCGUGUCGUGAGAUGUUGGGUUAAGUCCCGCAACGAGCGCAACCCUUAUUGUUAGUUGCUACCAUUUAGUUGAGCACUCUAGCGAGACUGCCCGGGUUAACCGGGAGGAAGGUGGGGAUGACGUCAAAUCAUCAUGCCCCUUAUGUCUAGGGCUACACACGUGCUACAAUGGUCGGUACAAUGAGAUGCAACCUCGCGAGAGUGAGCAAAACUAUAAAACCGAUCUCAGUUCGGAUUGUAGGCUGAAACUCGCCUACAUGAAGCUGGAGUUGCUAGUAAUCGCGAAUCAGAAUGUCGCGGUGAAUACGUUCCCGGGCCUUGUACACACCGCCCGUCACACCAUGAGAGUUGGCAAUACCCAAAGUUCGUGAGCUAACGCGUAAGCGAGGCAGCGACCUAAGGUAGGGUCAGCGAUUGGGGUGAAGUCGUAACAAGGUAGCCGUAGGAGAAC
rnacentral:rRNA from 1 species